rnacentral:rRNA from 1 species
ACCUACGGGGGGCUGCAGUGGGGAAUAUUGGACAAUGGGCGCAAGCCUGAUCCAGCAAUGCCGCGUGUGUGAAGAAGGUCUUCGGAUUGUAAAGCACUUUCGACGGGGACGAUGAUGACGGUACCCGUAGAAGAAGCCCCGGCUAACUUCGUGCCAGCAGCCGCGGUAAUACGAAGGGGGCUAGCGUUGCUCGGAAUGACUGGGCGUAAAGGGCGCGUAGGCGGAACAUACAGUCAGAUGUGAAAUGCCCGGGCUCAACCUGGGGGCUGCAUUUGAUACGUGUGAUCUUGAGUGAGGAAGAGGGUCGUGGAAUUCCCAGUGUAGAGGUGAAAUUCGUAGAUAUUGGGAAGAACACCGGUGGCGAAGGCGGCGACCUGGUCCUUUACUGACGCUGAGGCGCGAAAGCGUGGGGAGCAAACAGGAUUAGAUACCCCUGUAGUCUA